UACGGACGGGGCAAGCGUUGUUCGGAAUCAUUGGGCGUAAAGGGCGCGUAGGUGGUCCUGUAUGUCUACCGUGAAAGCAUACAGCUCAACUGUAUUUUGUCGGUAGAAACUGCAGGACUUGAGGCUGGGAGGGGCUGGUGGAAUUCCCUGUGUAGCGGUGAAAUGCGUAGAGAUGGGGGAGAACACUCGUGGCGAAGGCGGCCAGCUAGACCAGUUCUGACACUGAGGCGCGACAGCGUGGGGAGCAAACAGG
rnacentral:rRNA from 1 species